CGACCCUCAAGCCCCCUGGGGCUUGGUGUUGGGGCUCCUACGGCGGGCUUUCGUCCCCCGUAGGCCCUCAAAGCUAGUGGCGGGCUCGCUGGUGCUUCCGGGCGUAGUAGUUAUCCCUCUUCGCCCAGGGUGCCCGGCGGGCGUGCUGGCCGUUAAACCCCCUAUACAUUUAGAA
rnacentral:misc_RNA from 1 species